CACGCCCGUCUGAGGGUCGGC
rnacentral:rRNA from 3 species